CACGUAGGGGGCGAGCGUUGUCCGGAUUUAUUGGGCGUAAAGAGCGUGUAGGCGGCCAUGUAGGUCCGUUGUGAAAACUCGAGGCUCAACCUCGAGACGCCGAUGGAAACCAUGCGGCUAGAGUCCGGAAGAGGAGAGUGGAAUUCCUGGUGUAGCGGUGAAAUGCGCAGAUAUCAGGAAGAACACCCGUGGCUAAGGCGGCUCUCUAGUACGGUACUGACGCUGAGACGCGAAAGCGUGGGGAGCGAACAGG
rnacentral:rRNA from 1 species